UACGGAGGGUGCAAACGUUGCUCGGAAUUAUUGGGCGUAAAGCGCACGUAGGCGGAUCGUUAAGUCGGGGGUGAAAUCCUGGAGCUCAACUCCAGAACUGCCUUCGAUACUGGCGAUCUUGAGUCCGGAAGAGGUGAGUGGAACUCCUAGUGUAGAGGUGGAAUUCGUAGAUAUUAGGAAGAACACCAGUGGCGAAGGGCGGCUCACUGGUCCGGUACUGACGCUGAGGUGCGGAAAAGCGAGGGGGAGCAAACGGG
rnacentral:rRNA from 1 species